AACGAACGCUGGCGGCGUGGAUAAGACAUGCAAGUCGAACGGAGUUACUUUUAGUAGCAAUACCGAAAGUAACUUAGUGGCGAACGGGUGCGUAACACGUGGGCAAUCUGCCUUAAAGUGGGGGAUAGCUCGGCGAAAGCCGGAUUAAUACCGCAUGUGAUUAGAGUGGACAUCCAUUCGAAAUCAAAGUCGGGGCAACCUGACGCUUUUUGAGGAGCCCGCGGCCUAUCAGCUAGUUGGUGAGGUAACGGCUCACCAAGGCGAUGACGGGUAGCUGGUCUGAGAGGACGACCAGUCACACUGGAACUGAGACACGGUCCAGACACCUACGGGUGGCAGCAGUCGAGAAUUUUUCUCAAUGGGGGAAACCCUGAAGGAGCGACGCCGCGUGGAGGAUGAAGGUCUUCGGGUUGUAAACUCCUGUCAUUUGGGAACAAUGCUAGCCAGUUAACUGUUGGCUAGUUGACAGUACCAGAAGAGGAAGAGACGGCUAACUCUGUGCCAGCAGCCGCCGUAAGAC
rnacentral:rRNA from 1 species